UCGGCUAACAAGGGAAGGGGGAUCAGCCAUAUUUUUUAACACGUGAGCGUGACAGAGCACUUUGCGAGCUGAAUCAGGCUGCUGGUAUGUUUUGUACAUGGUCGUAAUGUGAAGCACAUUUUCUCAGAGUGGCUGGCAUGUGGCAAGCGGCGAGGGCUAGGAAACAGCUGAUGACGAAGGAUUAGGACCGACUUGGUGGAAUGGGGCCGACCGCAUCAGAGGAGCGCAUACAUACCGGGAUUUUGAUGCACACUGAGAAACAUCCUAGAAGCCAGAGCUCUGCGCUCCAAAGGAAAUUCCAAACAGUCACGUGGGAAAGGAGCAGAUGCAUACCAGCAUAAUAAAUCCUCCGCUUCGUAUCGAAAAGGGGCUGCUGCUUCAGAUGGAGAGACGUCUUAGAUGUUCAGAGUCCGAGGGGUCUGAGAGGUUAAUCUGCGCUGUCCCGGGAGCCUGCCGGAGGAUGGAUGUCUCAGAAGCGGACUGUUUGGAUAGUCAAAUCACAGCACCGCGGGGGGGGGACUGCUCUCCUCUCUCACAAAGAG